UGUAGCUCAGUUGGUAGAGUGCUUGCCUUAGCAUGCAUGAAGCCCUGGGUUCAAUCCCCAGCA
rnacentral:tRNA from 1 species